UGGGGAAUAUUGGACAAUGGACCAAAAGUCUGAUCCAGCAAUUCUGUGUGCACGAUGAAGUUUUUCGGAAUGUAAAGUGCUUUCAGUUGGGACGAAGAAAGUGACGGUACCAACAGAAGAAGCGACGGCUAAAUACGUGCCAGCAGCCGCGGUAAUACGUAUGUCGCAAGCGUUAUCCGGAUUUAUUGGGCGUAAAGCGCGUCUAGGCGGUUUGGUAAGUCUGAUGUGAAAAUGCGGGGCUCAACUCCGUAUUGCGUUGGAAACUGUCAAACUAGAGUACUGGAGAGGUGGGCGGAACUACAAGUGUAGAGGUGAAAUUCGUAGAUAUUUGUAGGAAUGCCGAUGGGGAAGCCAGCCCACUGGACAGAUACUGACGCUAAAGCGCGAAAGCGUGGGUAGC
rnacentral:rRNA from 1 species